UACAGAGGUCUCGAGCGUUGUUCGGAUUCAUUGGGCGUAAAGGGUGCGUAGGUGGCGCCGUAAGUCGGGUGUGAAAUUUCGGAGCUUAACUCCGAAACUGCAUUUGAUACUGCGGUGCUUGAGGACUGGAGAGGAGACUGGAAUUUACGGUGUAGCAGUGAAAUGCGUAGAGAUCGUAAGGAAGACCAGUGGCGAAGGCGGGUCUCUGGACAGUUCCUGACGCUGAGGCACGAAGGCCAGGGGAGCAAACGGG
rnacentral:rRNA from 1 species